GAUGAACGCUAGCGGCAGGCCUAACACAUGCAAGUCGAGGGGCAGCACGGUGUAGCAAUACACUGGUGGCGACCGGCGCACGGGUGCGUAACGCGUAUGCAACCUACCCAUAACAGGGGAGUAACACUGAGAAAUUAGGUACUAAUACCCCACUAACAUCAGGACCGGCAUCGGUUCUGGUUGAAAACUACCGGUCGGUUAUGAGUGGGCGAUGCGUUGUAUUAGCUGGUUGGUGAGGUAACGGCUCACCAAGGCAACGAUACAUAGGGGGGACGU
rnacentral:rRNA from 1 species